rnacentral:tRNA from 2 species
GGCGGACGUGGCCAAGUGGAUUAAGGCAGUA